UUUUUUUUCCGGGAAAAAAAACAGAAAGGUAAUGAAACGACUUUUCUUUUUCGAUGGACUUCUAAUUCUCAGAUAUUUUUUCCUCUUCGCCGAACACUAUUUCAUGUCAAUCGAUCGAGGAAACUGGAGAAAUAUAUCUAUGGAAGAAGAUAUAAGAAAUCAGUUGGAUCUCUACUUCUGCAGUCUCUUCUGUGAUCAAGUUUCCUCUGACCAAAAGAUGAAAUCAGACAGUGGGAAUGCGGCUUAGUUAAAGCAGAUAUAGGUUCGAUUCCAUGUAAUGAAUCAAUUGAAGUUCGAUUUGAUAUACUGUUCGAAAGAAGAAUCAGAAAAAACAAAGUCACGGCAGGAGUAGACAGAGAAAUCUCUCUAUUUCUUACUUAGUGAGUGCAGGCACUCAUCAAUAAAGACAUGCUCGAGGAGUUUUGGAGAACAAAAAGACGUCAGCUGAACAAAAUUUAGACAAUGCACUGGCCAUCAAAGAGGAGCAAAACACGAUAACUAUUUAUGGAGGCUUGGAGAAGAAAAAGACGUGGGAAGGAAGUUGACCUCAAAAAGUUAAGGAUGCCGAUGUCUUGUGGUUUCGCGAUCCAUUUUUUCAGACGUAGAUAUUGAGAUCGCGUGUGACCAUUAAAAAGGAAGUUCCUCUAGCAAGAGCAAUCAAGUUUACAUUCUAUGGAUACUGGUGCGAGUAAGUCCAGAAGGAGAUGUAAAAAAGGAGAUGAUACUGUACAUCAUAUCGAAUGUUGUUCCUGUUUUACUCUGCAUUUUGAUGA